rnacentral:lncRNA from 1 species
GUUGUUUACAGAAUAAUCUUAGAACUGUGCAGUUUAGAAAUCACUUGAACAAUUACAGAAUGAUUGGAACUUUCCAGAAUGAUCCUAAUAAAAGAUGCGUUAUAUGAACUUCUACAUUUUACUAGAAACUUCUAUUGUAACUUUCUAGGAUGUUCCAUUAUAGACUGUUCUAGAAUCUUCCAUGACAACUAUAUAUACAGACACUAAAGUUAAACACUCACUCUUGGAUUUGGACUUAGACAUCGAUAGACAUAAAUAUUCAUAGCCUUUGGAUUGACACUUUU